rnacentral:rRNA from 1 species
CUGGCUCAGAUUGAACGCUGGCGGCAGGCCUAACACAUGCAAGUCGAGCGGCAGCACGGGAAGCUUGCUUCCUGGUGGCGAGCGGCGGACGGGUGAGUAAUGCAUAGAAAUCUGCCCGGUAGUGGGGGAUAACCUGGGGAAACCCAGGCUAAUACCGCAUACGUCCUACGGGAGAAAGCAGGGGAUCUUCGGACCUUGCGCUAUCGGAUGAGUCUAUGUCGGAUUAGCUUGUUGGUGAGGUAAUGGCUCACCAAGGCGACGAUCCGUAGCUGGUCUGAGAGGAUGAUCAGCCACAUCGGGACUGAGACACGGCCCGAACUCCUACGGGAGGCAGCAGUGGGGAAUAUUGGACAAUGGGCGAAAGCCUGAUCCAGCCAUGCCGCGUGUGUGAAGAAGGCCUUCGGGUUGUAAAGCACUUUCAGUGGGGAAGAAAGCCUUGGGGCUAAUACCCUCGAGGAAGACAUCA